CUGGCGGCAGGCCUAACACAUGCAAGUCGAGCGCGCCUUCGGGUGAGCGGCGGACGGGUUAGUAACGCGUGGGAACGUGCCCUUCUCUACGGAAUAGCCUCUGGAAACGGAGAGUAAUACCGUAUACGCCCUUUGGGGGAAAGAUUUAUCGGAGAAGGAUCGGCCCGCGUUAGAUUAGGUAGUUGGUGGGGUAACGGCCUACCAAGCCUACGAUCUAUAGCUGGUUUUAGAGGAUGAUCAGCAACACUGGGACUGAGACACGGCCCAGACUCCUACGGGAGGCAGCAGUGGGGAAUCUUAGACAAUGGGGGCGACCCUGAUCUAGCCAUGCCGCGUGAGUGAUGAAGGCCUUAGGGUCGUAAAGCUCUUUCGCCUGUGAUGAUAAUGACAGUAGCAGGUAAAGAAACCCCGGCUAACUCCGUGCCAGCAGCCGCGGUAAUACGGAGGGGGUUAGCGUUGUUCGGAAUUACUGGGCGUAAAGCGCGCGUAGGCGGAUUAGAAAGUUGGGGGUGAAAUCCCGGGGCUCAACCUCGGAACUGCCUCCAAAACUGCUAGUCUAGAGUUCGAGAGAGGUGAGUGGAAUUCUGAGUGUAGAGGUGAAAUUCGUAGAUAUUCGGAGGAACACCAGUGGCGAAGGCGGCUCACUGGCUCGAUACUGACGCUGAGGUGCGAAAGUGUGGGGAGCAAACAGGAUUAGAUACCCUGGUAGUCCACACCGUAAACGAUGAAUGCCAGUCGUCGGAUAGUAUACUAUUCGGUGACACACCUAACGGAUUAAGCAUUCCGCCUGGGGAGUACGGUCGCAAGAUUAAA
rnacentral:rRNA from 1 species